rnacentral:lncRNA from 1 species
AAGAAAGGAAAUGCCAACUGCUUAAUGUAAAUGAGAAAACAGUGCAAAGUUUAAUCACCCCAGCUUUCACAGGGCUAAGAAACGGCAGAGCUAGAACUGAGGCCAUGGCUACCUUCCUUCUGAUGCCGCAUUCUCACUGGACUGCAACACUUCACUGGCUCCGUGUUCAGGGUGGAAAGGGCACCAACUGGUGACACAGGCAACCUCGCCCACUCUGUGCCUCUCUUUCAGUCAGUCACCUGCUCAGUGAUGUGAUGUCAAUCUUUCAGUCACCCGCCAGUCCUCGUUUCUCAACGUUGCUGCCUAGGACAGGCUUGGGCAUAAUGAUAAACCAUUGUUUUCACCCAUGUUGCAGGCCCGAGUCCGGAAGGUACUUUAGUGGAUGUGAAGUGGCAUUUGAGUAUGAAAACAGCAAGCAACAGUAUUUCUCUGGUUCCUGCCUUGAGUUCCUGGUUUCCUUCAAUAAUGGAUUGUAACUUGAAAAUGUAAGGCAAAUAAAUUCUCUUGUCAUCUAAAAAAAAUAAAUACA